rnacentral:tRNA from 1 species
CCACCGCCGCGCUGCUGGUGCUGGGCGCGCUGCUGCUGCUGGCGCUGGAGUGGGGGAACGCCGGGACGCUCGGGCCGCUCGGGGUGGG